AUUGAACGCUGGCGGCAGGCCUAACACAUGCAAGUCGAACGAGUGGCGGACGGGUGAGUAAUGUCUGGGAAACUGCCUGAUGGAGGGGGAUAACUACUGGAAAAGGUAGCUAAUACCGCAUACCAUCGGAUGUGCCCAGAUGGGAUUAGCUAGUAGGUGGGGUAAAGUCUGACCUAGGCGACGAUCCCUAGCUGGUCUGAGAGGAUGACCAGCCACACUGGAACUGAGCCACGGUCCCGACUCCUACGGUAGGCAGCAGUGGGGAAUAUUGCACAAUGGGCGCAAGCCUGAUGCAGCCAUGCCGCGUGUGGGAAGAAGGCCUUCGGGUUGUAAAGCACUUUCAGCGAGGAGGCGUUACUCGCAGAAGAAGCACCGGCUAACUCCGUGCCAGCCGCCGCGGUAAUUC
rnacentral:rRNA from 1 species